AGCUGAAAAGACGUAAAGGCAGUCAGCCCAGUGGUGUUUCUGGAGAGGGAUUCCUUCAGAAAUGGAGAAGACAGAAAGCUGCGGAGGCAGAUAUUUGCAGCAUGUUCAAGUGAGCAUGAUGACCACGAGUGUGUGUCGAACUUUUCAUGACCUGAUGACUGUGUUUCCCAAUCCUGAUCCUGGAGAACCCCAGCACUGCACGGUUUUGGUGUCUCUCUUAUCUGCCUUGGAGUCUUCACUGAUGAGCUGAUGAGUUGAAUCAGGUCUAAAAUAUCAAGCUCAACAGCUCACUCAAGAGCCAACCCUCACAAACCUUCCUAAAAACUAAAAGAACUAUUACUGAGUCUCAGCGAAUCUUGCCAUGAUCAGCUCUUCCCAGAAGAGAAGGAAGACCAAGGAAAUUAUUUGCUCAGGAUGAGGAAUGAAGAUGGCCAUCUUGAGCUCAAACAAACAGAAGUCCUCUGAUGAUCUCUUCAGCCAAACGAGGGGUUUUGACCAAGUGAUGCUCUUGAAAGGAGAGAAAGAAGAGGAUGUGGUAAAUUGUCUUCAGAGAAAAAGCUUCUCAAAAGGUCUUAAAACAGCUUGAAGAAUGGUCUGGGAUCUUAGGACUGAGAGAUCCUCUGGCUGAGAACAAGCUACACCACAUCAGUGCUGGACAUCAACCACAAACUGUUU